GAUGAACGCUGGCGGCGUGCCUAAUACAUGCAAGUCGAGCGAACGGACGAGAAGCUUGCUUCUCUGAUGUUAGCGGCGGACGGGUGAGUAACACGUGGAUAACCUACCUAUAAGACUGGGAUAACUUCGGGAAACCGGAGCUAAUACCGGAUAAUAUUUUGAACCGCAUGGUUCAAAAGUGAAAGACGGUCUUGCUGUCACUUAUAGAUGGAUCCGCGCUGCAUUAGCUAGUUGGUAAGGUAACGGCUUACCAAGGCAACGAUGCAUAGCCGACCUGAGAGGGGAAUGGGCAAAACAGGAAAGGGAACAGGGUCCAGACCCCAAGGGGGGGAAGGAGGGGGGAAUUUUCCGAAAUGGGGAAAAGCCGGAGGGAGAAACGCGGGGGGGGGGAUGAAGGUUUUCGGAUGGAAAAACUUUUUUAUUAGGAAAAAAAAAAUGGGAAAGAAAAUGUGAAAAUUUUGACGGUACAUAAUAAAAAAGCCACGGCUAAAUACGU
rnacentral:rRNA from 1 species